rnacentral:rRNA from 1 species
UACGGAGGAUCCAAGCGUUAUCCGGAAUCAUUGGGUUUAAAGGGUCCGUAGGUGGACGGUUAAGUCAGGGGUGAAAGUCUGCAGCUCAACUGUAGAAUUGCCUUUGAUACUGGUCGUCUUGAGUUAUUGUGAAGUGGUUAGAAUAUGUAGUGUAGCGGUGAAAUGCAUAGAUAUUACAUAGAAUACCGAUUGCGAAGGCAGAUCACUAACGAUACACUGACACUGAUGGACGAAAGCGUGGGUAGCGAACAGGAUUAGAAACCCCAGUAGUCC